AUGGCUCAGAUUGAACGCUGGCGGCAGGCCUAACACAUGCAAGUCGAACGGUAACAGGAAGCAGCUUGCUGCUUUGCUGACGAGUGGCGGACGGGUGAGUAAUGUCUGGGAAACUGCCUGAUGGAGGGGGAUAACUACUGGAAACGGUGGCUAAUACCGCAUAACGUCGCAAGACCAAAGAGGGGGACCUUCGGGCCUCUUGCCAUCAGAUGUGCCCAGAUGGGAUUAGCUUGUUGGUGAGGUAACGGCUCACCAAGGCGACGAUCCCUAGCUGGUCUGAGAGGAUGACCAGCCACACUGGAACUGAGACACGGUCCAGACUCCUACGGGAGGCAGCAGUGGGGAAUAUUGCACAAUGGGCGCAAGCCUGAUGCAGCCAUGCCGCGUGUAUGAAGAAGGCCUUCGGGUUGUAAAGUACUUUCAGCGGGGAGGAAGGUGUUGCGGUUAAUAACCGCAGCAAUUGACGUUACCCGCAGAAGAAGCACCGGCUAACUCCGUGCCAGCAGCCGCGGUAAUACGGAGGGUGCAAGCGUUAAUCGGAAUUACUGGGCGUAAAGCGCACGCAGGCGGUCUGUCAAGUCGGAUGUGAAAUCCCCGGGCUCAACCUGGGAACUGCAUUCGAAACUGGCAGGCUUGAGUCUUGUAGAGGGGGGUAGAAUUCCAGGUGUAGCGGUGAAAUGCGUAGAGAUCUGGAGGAAUACCGGUGGCGAAGGCGGCCCCCUGGACAAAGACUGACGCUCAGGUGCGAAAGCGUGGGGAGCAAACAGGAUUAGAUACCCUGGUAGUCCACGCCGUAAACGAUGUCUACUUGGAGGUUGUGCCCUUGAGGCGUGGCUUCCGGAGCUAACGCGUUAAGUAGACCGCCUGGGGAGUACGGCCGCAAGGUUAAAACUCAAAUGAAUUGACGGGGGCCCGCACAAGCGGUGGAGCAUGUGGUUUAAUUCGAUGCAACGCGAAGAACCUUACCUGGUCUUGACAUCCACAGAAGAAUCCAGAGAUGGAUUUGUGCCUUCGGGAACUGUGAGACAGGUGCUGCAUGGCUGUCGUCAGCUCGUGUUGUGAAAUGUUGGGUUAAGUCCCGCAACGAGCGCAACCCUUAUCCUUUGUUGCCAGCGAUUAGGUCGGGAACUCAAAGGAGACUGCCAGUGAUAAACUGGAGGAAGGUGGGGAUGACGUCAAGUCAUCAUGGCCCUUACGACCAGGGCUACACACGUGCUACAAUGGCGCAUACAAAGAGAAGCGACCUCGCGAGAGCAAGCGACCUCAUAAAGUGCGUCGUAGUCCGGAUUGGAGUCUGCAACUCGACUCCAUGAAGUCGGAAUCGCUAGUAAUCGUGGAUCAGAAUGCCACGGUGAAUACGUUCCCGGGCCUUGUACACACCGCCCGUCACACCAUGGGAGUGGGUUGCAAAAGAAGUAGGUAGCUUAACCUUCGGGAGGGCGCUUACCACUUUGUGAUUCAUGACUGAAGUGAAGUCGUAACAAGG
rnacentral:rRNA from 1 species